UUGAGUGAAGUAGUCCAGCCUGGCCCGAUUUUGGACGUCUACUUACAGACAGAACUAGUUGAAAUGAGACGUUCUGACCGACCACAAUCUGGACGUCUAUUUGACAGCCUGAUUUAGUUGAUAAAUGACACUGAGUAAAGUCGUCCAUCCUGGCCCAAUUUUGGACGGCUACAGACAACCAGAACUAGUGUAAAUGAGACAUUCCGAUAGGCCACAAUCUGGAAGUCUAUAUGACAGCCUGAAUUAGUUAAUAAAUUACAUUGAGUGAGGCAAGGCAGGCCCCUUAGAGCUGUUUUUUUGUCAUGAAGAGUGAGGUUUCAAUGGCUGUUCUCCAUUGAUCUGCCUGUACAGCAUAGACUUCUUAAAAAUUAACCAAUACUCAGCAAUAUUCAUUGUUUUUAGUAAUACUUCAAUGAUUUUUGGAGGUUUAUGUUACUUGCAACUUGUUGCCAUGCAAAUAAAUAGUAGUUUGAAUUCAAAAUCACAGAGGCUAAGCCAAAACCUGAGUACCUGGGAAAAUAUAUAUAUUUUCAUCAUAAAUGUUGCAUUUUGGUGUAUUUCCAUCAGGUUUACAGUUACAAUUGUUGUAUAGGAGUUGGAAAACAAAUUCAGCAGAAAAAUUGGCUACUGGAACUUGGUUAAUGGUUAUAGUGCUUUAUUGUUAUAGUGCAUUUUUACAAGGCAAGGAUAAAAAAUUCCUUCGUUGCAUCUUGAAUCUAUAGAAAUGGUUUAAAUACCAUGGAUUCAUGUUAGCUUCUUUCAAAAGUGACCAGAAUAAUGAAUAUAGGCCAUAUGGUUGAGGAGUUAUUCCUGAUUUGGGCAGGUUUUGCCUCCGGAUUCAGAGAUUAAAAAAAAAAAACGUUUUCCGUAUGCAGUACCGGCAGCCAUCCUAACAUCAAUAACUUGAAUUAAUCUAUUUAUCCACAUAUUCCCCGUUUGUUAAUAAUAAUUUGUCAUUUUUUAUAGAAUAUAGAAUAUUUUUUAUUUAACAACUGUCUCUGUGGUUUGGUAUUUAAAACAUUUUUGGCUGUAAGGUCGUACGGUAUUAAUAAAGUUCGGUUGAAUUAACCAAUGACGUUCUUGUUACCAGACUGAUAUCCUUCCGCUGUGAAAGUAGUUCUACUUUUAUAGUGGUGAUUAAUAAUUUAAUUGGGACUCGUAGUGGUUAACAUUGCCUUUAACGACUACUUCAACCUUUUAUGAAAUGACAUUGCUUUUUUAAUCGAGCCAACUUGCCAGGAAAGUUUUCUAUAGUGCUGUCGCACGGAUGGAUAUGAAGUCUGCAAGGAAUUGUACAAUCACACAGUGGACUUGGCAGUUACUCGGCUCGUGCAGAUCGUAAGAGAAAAGAAGAGCUGCCAACCAGGUUCAUCUAAGUCAUACAGCAGGGAGAGGUCCACUGCAUCUGCUGUUAUGCAAUGGGAUUCUGCUGCGACGGAGGCGCAAAUCAGAUCUGCAGCUGCAGAUCACUUGAAGCAUGCCCCGGGACGAGUUGGAGGAGGAGGUUACAAUUAGGUCUUGUUAGCAACUGAAUUUUUACUCUUUUCUAAUUUUAAAUACUUUUAUAUAUUUAUAGUUUUGUUAGUUUCGUUUUAUUCAAUGUUCACUGUUGUACAAUGUAUUUUAAAUGUGUUCGUGGCUUUUCAUCAAAGUUCUUGAAUAAAAUUGGAUAGUGUGAAUCUUAAA